CUAAGUUUGGCUAAUUUAUGGCGAAAAAGCCGAUUAAAAAUAUCACGUUUUUGGCAAAAAAUAAGAAAGGGAAAUUUCUAGUUGAACCAACGAACUAAAUCGUCUUAAUUUCUGCCCCUGUUAUUGAUGAUGAUGAUGCCGACGAUGCUUGAGGGAUUGCGGUUAGCUACAUGCGUGGAAAAGCAGCAGCAGCAGCAAUAGAAGCAGCAUCAUGCAACAACCCAGCAGCAACAUGCAACAUGCAACCAGCAAGCAGCGGACCAAUGCCCCAUGUCCGAGCGUUUUGCACACAUGCACCGGCAGCACACAUUCCGCAUUGCAAUCUUGCUAAUUGCUUGCUGAACGCAUAUGGCCCUGCUAAUGUUUGGCCAAAACGCCAGAUGUUAACCGACCUGCCCAUUACCCUGGUGUGGCUGAGAAACUCUCCAGUGGAAUCACAUCCACCGGAUGUCUGAUAGCCCCGCAGGAUUACUGGGCUUCGACCGGGUUUCUUUUGAGGAUUCUCGCCCAGACUUGACCCGGUUUUCCAUUUUGGAUAUACACACAG